UCCGAAUUGGUGUAGUGGCUAACAUUUGACGCUCUCAACUGUGCUCUUUCCUCACUUCAGAGGUUGAGAUAUGGAAAAGUGCCGUCAAGCCCGGGGUUCGAUUCCCCGAUUCGGAG